AGACGUCUACAUUAGAUACCCGUGUAGUCCCAGCCCUAAACGAUGCGCGUUAGGUGUAUCGGUGACCACGAGUCACCGAGGUGCCGAAGGGAAACCGUGAAACGUGCCGCCUGGGAAGUACGGUCGCAAGGCUGAAACUUAAAGGAAUUGGCGGGGAGCACCACAACGGGUGGAGCCUGCGGUUUAAUUGGACUCAACGCCGGGAAGCUCACCGGAUAAGACAGCGGAAUGAUUGCCGGGCUGAAGACCCUGCAUGACCAGCUG
rnacentral:rRNA from 1 species